UAGGGAAUCUUCGGCAAUGGACGGAAGUCUGACCGAGCAACGCCGCGUGAGUGAAGAAGGUUUUCGGAUCGUAAAGCUCUGUUGUUAGAGAAGAACGUUGGUAGGAGUGGAAAAUCUACCAAGUGACGGUAACUAACCAGAAAGGGACGGCUAACUACGUGCCAGCAGCCGCGGUAAUACGUAGGUCCCGCGCGUUGUCCGGAUUGAUUGGGCGUAAAGCGAGCGCAGGCGGUUAUUUAAGUCUGAAGUUAAAGGCAGUGGCUUAACCGUUGUACGCGUUGGAAACUGGAGGAAUGGAGGGCAGAAGGGGAGAGUGGAAUUCCGUGUGUAGCGGAGAAAUGCGUAGAUAUAUGGAGGAACGCCGGUGGCGAGAGCGGCUCGCUGGUCUGUAACUGACGCUGAGGCUCGAAAGCGUAGGGAGCAAACAGG
rnacentral:rRNA from 1 species